rnacentral:rRNA from 1 species
GACGAACGCUGGCGGCGUGCCUAAUACAUGCAAGUCGAACGCUUCUUUCCUCCCGAGUGCUUGCACUCAAUUGGAAAGAGGAGUGGCGGACGGGUGAGUAACACGUGGGUAACCUACCCAUCAGAGGGGGAUAACACUUGGAAACAGGUGCUAAUACCGCAUAACAGUUUAUGCCGCAUGGCAUAAGAGUGAAAGGCGCUUUCGGGUGUCGCUGAUGGAUGGACCCGCGGUGCAUUAGCUAGUUGGUGAGGUAACGGCUCACCAAGGCCACGAUGCAUAGCCGACCUGAGAGGGUGAUCGGCCACACUAGGACUGAGACACGGCCCAGACUCCUACGGGAGGCAGCAGUAGGGAAUCUUCGGCAAUGGACGAAAGUCUGACCGAGCAACGCCGCGUGAGUGAAGAAGGUUUUCGGAUCGUAAAACUCUGUUGUUAGAGAAGAACAAGGACGUUAGUAACUGAACGUCCCCUGACGGUAUCUAACCAGAAAGCCACGGCUAACUACGUG